UACGUAGGGGCGAGCGUUGUCCGGAAUGACUGGGCGUAAAGGGCGCGUAGACGGCUGAUUAAGUCUGGAGUGAAAGUCCUGCUUUCAAGGUGGGAAGUGCUUUGGAGACUGGUUGGCUUGAGUGCGGAAGAGGUAAGUGGAAUUCCCAGUGUAGCGGUGAAAUGCGUAGAGAUUGGGAGGAACACCAGUGGCGAAGGCGACUUACUGGGCCGUAACUGACGUUGAUGCGCGAAAGCGUGGGGAGCGAACAGGAUUAGAUACCCGGGUAGUCCCUGAG
rnacentral:rRNA from 1 species